rnacentral:rRNA from 1 species
ACGAGACUCCCAAAGUAGCGGCGAGCGAAAUGGGAUGAGCCCAAACCGGCUGGAUUCGUUCAGCCGGGGUUGUAGGGCCGGCAUAUGUGAUUCAUGAGUAGGCAGGGGAAAUGAGCUGGAAAGCUCUGCCAGAGCGGGUGACAGCCCCGUACCUGAAACCGAAAGCGACACAGCCGGUACCUGAGUACCGCGAGACACGUGGAACCUCGUGGGAAUCCGGGAGGACCAUCUUCCAAGGCUAAGUACUAACCGACGACCGAUAGUGUACCAGUACCGUGAGGGAAAGGUGAAAAGAACCUCUGUUAGAGGAGUGAAAUAGAAUCUGAAACCUGGUGCUUACAAGCUGUGAGAGCGGACUUGUUCCGUGAUCACGUGCCUUUUGCAUAAUGAGUCAGCGAGUUAAUCUGUACUGCAAGGUUAAGCGCAAGUGGAGCCGUAGGGAAACCGAGUCUGACAAGGGCGAUGAGUAGUGCGGAUUAGACCCGAAACCGGGUGAUCUAUCCAUGAGCAGGUUGAAGCAAGGGUAAAACCUUGUGGAGGACCGAACCAAUACCGGCUGAAAACGGUUUGGAUGACUUGUGGAUAGGGGUGAAAGGCCAAUCAAACCCGGUGAUAGCUGGUUCUCCCCGAAAUAUAUUGAGGUAUAGCCUCAUGGAUUGUCUACCGGAGGUAAAGCACUGACAGGGCUAGGGGUCCUACCAGAUUACCAAACCCUAUCAAACUCAGAAUGCCGGUCAGAUGUACCAUGGGAGUCAGACGGCGGGUGCUAAGGUCCGUCGUCGAGAGGGUAAGAGCCCAGAUCAACAGCUAAGGUCUCCAAAUCUAUGCUCAGUGGUUAAGGUGGUGACGUUGUAGAGACACCCAGGACGUUGGCUUAGAAGCAGCCAUCGUUUAAAGAAAGCGUAAUAGCUCACUGGUCUAAUGACGUUGCGCCGAAAAUGUAACGGGGCUAAGCAUAGUACCGAAGCUUUGAAUUCCGCAUAUGCGGUCUGGUAGGGGAGCGUUCUUCACGGGCUGAAGGUGUGUCGUAAGGCAUGCUGGACUGUGGAGAAGUGAUUAUGCUGACAUGAGUAACGAUAAAACGGGUGAAAAACCCGUUCGCCGUAAACCCAAGGUUUUCCGGGUAAAGGUAAUCUUCCCGGAGUUAGUCGGCCCCUAAGGCGAGGCUGAAAGGCGUAGCUGAUGGGAAACGUGUUAAUAUUCACGUACUUGUGUGUUCGCGCGAUGAAGGGACGCAGGAAGAUAGGCAAGCCGGGCGCUGGUUGUCCCGGUGCAAGUGUGUAGGGAUGAAGAAUUGGCAAAUCCGUUCUUCUCUAUCCUGAGACACGAGUCCGUGACCGAAAGGUCUGAAGUUGUUGAGUCUAUGCUGCCUAGAAAAGCUUCUAAGUAUAGGACACGCAAACCGUACCGGAAACCAACUCAGGUGGGUGAGGAGAUAAUCCAAGGCGCUCGAGAGAACUCUGGCCAAGGAACUCGGCAAAAUAACCCCGUACCUUCGGAAGAAGGGGUGCUUUUUAGGGUGAAGCGAUUCACUCUGUCGAGCCCUGAAAAGCCGCAGAGAAAUGGUGGUGGCGACUGUUUACUAAAAACAUAGGUCUGUGCCAAGUCGUAUAGACGACGUAUACGGACUGACGCCUGCCCGGUGCUGGAAGGUUAAAAGGAGGAGUCAGCGCAAGCGAAGCUCCGAAUUGAAGCCCCAGUAAACGGCGGCCGUAACUAUAACGGUCCUAAGGUAGCGAAAUUCCUUGUCGGGUAAGUUCCGACCUGCACGAAUGGCGUAACGAUCUCCACACUGUCUCGGCCAGAGACUCGGUGAAAUUGAAGUCGCGGUGAAAAUGCCGUGUACCCGCAGAAAGACGGAAAGACCCUGUGCACCUUUACUAUAGCUUGACAUUGGGAUUUGAGCCUGCAUGUGUAGCAUAGGUGGGAGGCUGUGAACUCUGUACGCCAGUAUGGAGGGAGCCAUCGUUGAAAUACCACCCUUGUUUGUUCAGGUCCCUAACUCUUCGCCGUGAUCCGGUAAGAGGACAGUGUCUGGUGGGUAGUUUGACUGGGGCGGUCGCCUCCCAAAAUGUAACGGAGGCAUGCAAAGGUUCCCUCAGGCUGAUUGGAAACCAGCCGUCGAGUGCAAACGCAAAAGGGAGCUUGACUGCAAGAGAGACAUCUCGAGCAGGUACGAAAGUAGGUGUUAGUGAUCCGGUGAUCCCGAAUGGAAGGGUCAUCGCUCAUUGGAUAAAAGGUACGCCGGGGAUAACAGGCUGAUCGCAUCCAAGAGUUCACAUCGACGAUGCGGUUUGGCACCUCGAUGUCGGCUCAUCACAUCCUG